rnacentral:tRNA from 1 species
GGAGAGGUGCCCGGAGUGGCUUAUCGGGGACCGAGGUUCGCUUCAGUCGGGUGCAAGCCCACGCAGGUUCGAAUCCUGCCCUCUCCG